CCUACGGGAGGCAGCAGUGGGGGAUAUUGCACAAUGGGGGAAACCCUGAUGCAGCGACGCCGCGUGGGUGAAGAAGCGCCUCGGCGCGUAAAGCCCUGUCAUCAGGGAAGAAAAUGACGGUACCUGAAGAAGAAGCCCCGGCUAACUACGUGCCAGCAGCCGCGGUAAUACGUAGGGGGCAAGCGUUAUCCGGAUUUACUGGGUGUAAAGGGGGCGCAGACGGCGAUGCAAGCCAGGAGUGAAAGCCAUGGGCCCAACCCCGGGACUGCUCUUGGAACUGCGUGGCUAGAGUGCAGGAGGGGCAGGCGGAAUUCCCGGUGUAGCGGUGAAAUGCGUAGAUAUCAGGAGGAACACCGGUGGCGAAGGCGGCCUGCUGGACUGCAACUGACGUUGAGGCCCGAAAGCGUGGGGAGCAAACAGGAUUAGAUACCCCAGUAGUC
rnacentral:rRNA from 1 species